rnacentral:rRNA from 1 species
UACGGAAGGGGCAAGCGUUGUUCGGAAUCAUUGGGCGUAAAGGGCGCGUAGGUGGUUCUGUAUGUCUAUCGUGAAAGCGUACGGCUCAACCGUAUUUUGUCGGUAGAAACUGCAGGACUUGAGGCUGGGAGGGGCUGGUGGAAUUCCCUGUGUAGCGGUGAAAUGCGUAGAGAUGGGGGAGAACACUCGUGGCGAAGGCGGCCAGCUAGACCAGUUCUGACACUGAGGCGCGAAAGCGUGGGGAGCAAACGGG